rnacentral:tRNA from 1 species
UCCCUGGUGGUCUAGUGGUUAGGACUUGGUACUUCGACCGCUGUGGCCCAGGUUCAGUCCCUGGUCUGGGCA